GAUGAACGCUGGCGGCGUGCUUAACACAUGCAAGUCGAACGAAGCGCUUAAACUGAUUUCUUCGGAUUGAUUCUUGAGUGACUGAGUGGCGGACGGGUGAGUAACGCGUGGGUAACCUGCCUCAUACAGGGGGAUAACAGUCAGAAAUGGCUGCUAAUACCGCAUAAGCGCACAGCACCGUCAUGGUACAGUGUGAAAAACUCCGGUGGUAUGACGAUGGACCCGCGUCUGAUUAGCUGGUUGGUGGGGUAACGGCCCACCAAAGCGACGAUCAAUAGCCGGCCUGAGAGGUUGAACGGCCACAUUGGGACUGAGACACGGCCCAG
rnacentral:rRNA from 1 species